GGAUGACUUGGCGUCAAGAGGCGAUGAAAGACGUUGGAACCUGCGAAAAGCUACAGGGAGCUGGUAACCAAGCUGUGAUCUGUAGAUAUCUGAAUGGGGAAACCCACCCGCAAGGGUAUCGUAUACUGAAUGCAUAGGUAUACGAGGCAAACCUGGGGAACUGAAACAUCUAAGUACCCAGAGGAAAGGAAAGCAAUAUGCGACUCCGUAAGUAGCGGCGAGCGAAAGCGGAUAGAUGUGAACCUACGAACACGAAGGAAUGCGUGACCAAAGACGGUGAAAGUCCGGUAGUAGGGUGUAGCAUCAUAGCCCUCGAUUAGGCUCGGGCUCGUGGAACCCGGGUUGAACAUGGGAGGUCCACCUUCCAAGGCUAAGUACUCCUUGACGACCGAUAGCGAAGAAGUAAAGUGAUUGAAAGUUGAAAAGCACCCCUAUUAGGGGGAUGAAAGAGUUCCUGAAACCAUGUGCCUACAAGCGGUCGGAGCCCUCAGGGGUGACGGCGUGCUUUUUGCAUAAUGAGCCCGCGAGUUAGUCUCAGUGGCGAGCUUAAGGCCUACCGGGCCGGAGGCGGAGCGAAAGCGAGUCUGAAUAGGGCGUAUAGUCGCUGGGACUAGACACGAAACCCGUGUGAUCUACCCAUGGUCAGGGUGAAGGUGGGGUAAAACCUGCUGGAGGCCCGAACCCGUCAUCGUUGAAAAGAUGUGGGAUGAACUGUGGGGAGGGGUCAAAGUCCAAUCAAACCGGGAGAUAGCUUGUUCUCACCGAAAUAACUUUAGGGUUAGCCUCAAGAAGCAACUGUUGGGGGUAGAGCUACUGGAUGCGUGGUGGGCCCGUCUAGGGUACCCCAUGCAACCAAACUCCGAAUACCAAUAGCCAAGUCUUGGGAGAUAGACCGCGAGUGAUAAUAUCCGCGGUCAAAAGGAGAAUAAUCCAGAUCGCCAGUUAAGGUCCCUAAAUUAUACUUAGUUUUUAAGGAAGUCAGAUUGCGAUGACAGCCAGGAUGUUGGCUUAGAAGCAGCCACCAUUUAAA
rnacentral:rRNA from 1 species